ACUACCACCAACCCACCCAGUCUCACCCAUUCGCUUCCUUCGGCGGUUUCUCUGAAAUCUCCAAACUACUCAUUUCUCUCCCCAAAGCCCCGCCCCCCCUCUUCUUCGAAAUCGCAACCGUCUUCUGUCCGGCACCCACACAAGAACUCAUCACUGACGCAGAGCCCGCCGGAAGCUUUCUCUAGAGAACGAUAUGUCGGUCGCCGUCUCCAUUGCCUCGCCCGGUCGCCGGCUCGACUUGGAUGACCAGCCAUUCCUCAAUUCCAGGAUUUAUUAAAGCUUUACUUAGUUUUGGUUCAAUACGAUAUGGUGCAAGAGAAAGGGAUAUGUUGAUAACUAGGAGGCAAGCAUGCCUUCUCCAAGCAUGACCAAGCAGAGAACGAGCAGUGUGAAAAUUUUUGGGGUCGAAUUGUGCCCUGACAAUGCGAAUCUUCACCAUUGAUGAAGUUGUGUUUCUACGUUUAACUUCUACAGGUGCGUCCUCUGUAUAUUUCUAUAAUUUCAAUUUCUCAAAUCGCUAUUGUUUAUUAGAUUUUACUUUCGAUAUGGUUACUAUUGUUUAUGGUUUAUAAAAAAAAUCUUUGUUUAUGCUAUUGGUUUGGUUAAGCAAAGAUUAAUACCAACUUCAAUUUAAGUUGGCACGUGUUAUGAUGGAGAAAAAUCGAAUUCCAGUUUGAACACUCGAAAUCCUUUAGUCUUUGGGUGACUCAGUGUAACUAAAGGCCUUUCCUAGCAUGCUCUUAUGCCAAGGAUCGACUAUUAAACACGUUUCUUGUUUGGGCUUUUAUGCAGAGUCUGCUUUAUGAAAAAUCAUAAAUAACUCCAUAGAUGCAAAAUCUUUUGGUAGGUGAAGGAAAUCACAACCAUUGUAAUGCUCUACUCUUGAUCCAUCAUAUUCAACGAAUUUGUACCAAUUGGAGUCUCCACAUGCAUCAGCCACAGACCAGAUCAAUGAGGUCAUAGUCUGAGGAGUUAAGCUGCCUACAUCGUGCCAAAAUCGGAGGAGAUAAGCUGAUCUUGUUCGAUAUUAGUCUUAGCUAGGGGUGCCUACUCCUAACCCGACUCUGAUCCUAAGACCAUCUUCAAUUUUUGGCCUAAAAUUAAAAAAUUUUAACCAAGAAAAUUUAGGUUUUAACCCAUAAACAAUAUUUCUGCUCCCAUCAUUCUGGGCUAAAAUUUUAGCCCCAGAUUAUUAAAAAAUGAAUUUAGAUUAAUUUUUUACUUAAAUUAACUUUUUUUUAAAAUAAACAUUUAUAUAGACUAUCCUAAUUUAAUUUUAUGAACAUUUUAACCUAAAAAUAUUUAGAUUCUGACAAAUACUGAAAAAUCACUAGGAGGUGGGUCCUAGUGACCCUGCCAAUGGGUGUAAAACUUGGGAAAGAGAUCUUCUAUGGAUCCCUUCCAUCAAAUCAAUUAAUCUGGAUCCUUGAAAUUUGAUCUAACGGAUAAAGUUAUUAUAAUUUUUAAAAGGGCUUUAUGUUUUUACCCGUUGAAUCAAAUUUUAAGGACUCAUAUUCAUUGAUUGAGUGGAUUUAAUGGAAGUGAUCCGAGAUCCCCUUCCUAAAACUUGGACUCUACAAAUGUGACGCAUGUACUAGAAUUACUGAUGGUGGAUCACCAGCUGCUUAGACACUAGACUUAUCCUAAACCCUUUUUUGACGCUUUUUUUUUGUUAUUUCGACAUUCUCCAACCUUUCCACUUCUAUUCCCCCCCCCCCCCCCAAAAAAAAAUCAACUCAACCCAAGGUAAAAAUAUGGUCUAAAACCUAAAACUCAAAUGGAAGCCAAAUUUAGCCCAGGAUUAGUGGUCUGGCCCACCAUAUAUGUAUAUUUUAUUUAAUUUUAUAGUUAUCAAUUCAUUUAAUCCAACAGUUAAGAUCUAAUUUAAUGAAAUGCAACGGUAAAAAAAAAAAAUUUAACUGUCCAAAUUUAAAUCUAACGG